rnacentral:misc_RNA from 1 species
AAGUCGUAACAAGGUUUCCGUAGGUGAACCUGCGGAAGGAUCAUUAACAAAAUUAAAUCUUUUAAAUGGAUGAAAUGAAUUUUUCAUUCUUUUAAAAAAUGAUCUCCAUAAGGAACUUUUUAUUUAAGUUCUUUAUGGUAUCAAACCCCAUUUUGAUGAACUUUUGUAAAGGUUUUUAAAAGUAGUAAUAAUGAUAAUAUUAUUAUUAUUACUUUUGAAAUCUUUCUUUAUUUUAUACCCCAAUUAUUUUUUCACCCCUUUUUUUACAACAUGUCAUAGACUGAAAUGAAAAUUUUUAUUAUCUAAAAAAUGAUAAAACAACUCUUAGCAACGGAUAUCUUGGCUCUC